UUCCUGUUCUUUCUGUCCGUGACCGCCUGAGGGAGCAGUAGUGCGCGCCGUGUUCUUUAAACUCGAAGGAACAAACAAACAGUGCGACUAAAACAACACGUUAAAAGUGAAGCAAAAUUGUAUCCUAUAAGCUAAAUUAGUACGUACAAUAACGUGUUAAAAGCAAUCGAAAUCGAAGUAAACAACAAAGAGACGAAGCACAUUGUUAAACAACAGGAAAAGGUCCAACAGGGCCUUUUUCUUUUGGUUUCGACUGGUUCUUCGGAACCAAUAGAACAUCAUCCCCAGGUUACCGACAACUCCGGACAGAAAAGCACACACAAGAUCGAACUAGACCCAAAAUUUGACCUCGAGUGUGACAUAACCUAGCCUCGGAACGGAGCGCGUGCAGAAAUCCAAAAACAACACCUUCCGACUGAAACCAGCAGAAUGCCACCUCGGAAACCAAGUUGCCAACAUCGAGUCGACACGCUUCGGGUUGAGCCGUUCCCAGCGGUGCCAAAACCGCCGUUAGGUGGGCAUGGUUCUGCAGAUCUGCCGUUCUCAACCGUCUGGCUUCGUAACUGGCUGUGGCGGUAAAUUGCAAGCCGAAAUCAACAUCGUAGCGAUGCUGCGAUCCGACAACAUAAACAUAAACUGUAUCGCAAGUAUAUAUAUUAUGUGACGUCACGUUAGGGCCCAUUCUUAGAAUUAAAUAUGUAAUUGUAAUUGUUGUUUACCAAACUGUAAAUGUAGACACUCGUAACCACUUUACACUUCCGGAAUUUGUUUCGUGUUCGAACUCCAUUUUCAAACCUCGCCCUGGGGUGGUCAUCUAAAGAAGUUCAGGCUAGAUUUCCUUUUCUUGUUUAAAUAGUUCAGCUCUGGUUGAUAGCAUGAGAGGUACCCACCCAUUUCGACACCCUUGAAAGUACAUGUUG